rfam:Danio rerio chromosome 4, GRCz11 reference primary assembly.
GUCAGGAUGGCCAAGCGGUCUAAGGUGCUGCGUUAAGGUUGCAAUUUCCCCUGGAGGCGUGGGUUCGAAUGCCACUUCCGACA